AUUGAACGCUGGCGGCAUGCCUUACACAUGCAAGUCGAACGGCAGCACGGGAGCAAUCCUGGUGGCGAGUGGCGAACGGGUGAGUAAAGUAUCGGAACGUGCCCAGUCGUGGGGGAUAACGUAGCGAAAGCUACGCUAAUACCGCAUACGAUCUAUGGAUGAAAGCGGGGGAUCGCAAGACCUCGCGCGAUUGGAGCGGCCGAGAUCAGAUUAGGUAGUUGGUGGGGUAAAGGCCCACCAAGCCGACCAUCUGUAGCUGGUAUGAGAGGACGACCAGCAACGCUGGGACUGAGACACGGCCCAGACUCAUACGGGAGGCAGCAGUGGGGAAUUUUGGACAAUGGGCGCAAGCCUGAUCCAGCAAUGCCGCGUACAGGAUGAAGGCCUUCGGGUUGUAAACUGCUUUUGUACGGAACGAAAAGCCCUGGGUUAAUACCCUGGGGUCAUGACGGUACCGUAAGAAUAAGCACCGGCUAACUACGUGCCAGCAGCCGCAGUGACAC
rnacentral:rRNA from 1 species